AUCCAUCUGAUGAGUUCAAAAUGGGACUAAACGCGCGUCCUGGAU
rnacentral:hammerhead_ribozyme from 1 species